rnacentral:lncRNA from 1 species
CUUCCCACGCUUCCUUAGCACGCAGGCUUCUCCAGGAACACACAGAACCAGAACUGAGGUACAACCAGAUCAAGAGGGGAGAUGUCAGAUACACCAAGGUCAUCGCACCCCUCUGUGAUCAAUUAUCCCGUUAUACAGACUUCUCCAGGAACACACAGAACCAGACCUGAGGUACAACCAGAUCAAGAGUGGAGGUGUCAGAUACACCAA